rnacentral:lncRNA from 1 species
GAGUGUAGGAUGACUGUGUGAGCCCGGGAGCUUGAGGCUGCAGUGUGUUAAAUUGAUUAGGUGUCCAUGCUAAAUUCAGCAUCAAUAUGGUGACCUCUGGAAGCUGGGGGCCACCAGGUUGCCCAAGGUGGGGUGAACGAGCCCAUGUCAGCGGGGAACAGGAGCAGGUUAAGAGCUUCUGUGCUGACCAUGGCCAGUGCCCUCCAGCCUGGGCAACAUCACCAGACCCAUCUCUAA